ACAGUGGACGCGAGCAUCUGUGGCCAAGUUUUUAAGGGCGCACGGUGGAUGCCUUGGCACCAGGAACCGAUGAAGGACGUGGGAGGCCACGAUAGUCCCCGGGGAGCCGUCAACCAGGCUUUGAUCCGGGGGUUUCCGAAUGGGGAAACCCGGCAGUCGUCAUGGGCUGUCACCCAUGCCUGAACACAUAGGGCAUGUGGAGGGAACGCGGGGAAGUGAAACAUCUCAGUACCCGCAGGAAGAGAAAACAACCGUGAUUCCGGGAGUAGUGGCGAGCGAAACUGGAUGAGGCCAAACCAUAUGCGUGUGAGACCCGGCAGGGGUUGCGCAUGUGGGGUUGUGGGAUCUCUCUUCUGUCGUCUGCCGGCGACAGGACGAGUCAGAAACCGUUGAUGUAGGCGAAGGACAUGCGAAAGGUCCGGCGUAGAGGGUAAGACCCCCGUAGUCGAAACAUCAGCGGCUCGUUUGAGAGACACCCAAGUAGCACGGGGCCCGAGAAAUCCCGUGUGAAUCUGGCGGGACCACCCGCUAAGCCUAAAUAUUCCCUGGUGACCGAUAGCGGAUAGUACCGUGAGGGAAUGGUGAAAAGUACCGCGGGAGCGGAGUGAAAUAGUACCUGAAACCGUGUGCCUACAAGCCGUGGGAGCGUCGCUGUAUGUGCUUGCACAUGCAGUCGUGACUGCGUGCCUUUUGAAGAAUGAGCCUGCGAGUUUGCGGUGCGUUGCGAGGUUAACCCGUGUGGGGAAGCCGUAGCGAAAGCGAGUCCGAAUAGGGCGAUUCAGUAGCGCGCUCAAGACCCGAAGCGGAGUGAUCUAGCCAUGGGCAGGUUGAAGCGGAGGUAAGACUUCGUGGAGGACCGAACCCACCAGGGUUGAAAACCUGGGGGAUGACCUGUGGUUAGGGGUGAAAGGCCAAUCAAACUCCGUGAUAGCUGGUUCUCCCCGAAAUGCAUUUAGGUGCAGCGUCGUGUGUUUCUUGCCGGAGGUAGAGCACUGGAUAGGCGAUGGGCCCUACCGGGUUACUGACCUUAGCCAAACUCCGAAUGCCGGUAAGUGAGAGCGCGGCAGUGAGACUGUGGGGGAUAAGCUCCAUGGUCGAGAGGGAAACAGCCCAGAGCAUCGACUAAGGCCCCUAAGCGUACGCUAAGUGGGAAAGGAUGUGGAGUCGCACAGACAACCAGGAGGUUGGCUUAGAAGCAGCCACCCUUGAAAGAGUGCGUAAUAGCUCACUGGUCUAGUGAUUCCGCGCCGACAAUGUAGCGGGGCUCAAGCGUACCGCCGAAGUCGUGUCAUUCCAGCAUAUAGGGCCAACGCCUGCUGGGAUGGGUAGGGGAGCGUCGUGUGCCGGGUGAAGCAGCCGCGGAAGCGAGUUGUGGACGGUUCACGAGUGAGAAUGCAGGCAUGAGUAGCGAUACACACGUGAGAAACGUGUGCGCCGAUUGACUAAGGGUUCCUGGGUCAAGCUGAUCUGCCCAGGGUAAGUCGGGACCUAAGGCGAGGCCGACAGGCGUAGUCGAUGGAUAACCGGUUGAUAUUCCGGUACCCGCUGUGAAGCGUCAAACAUCGAGCAUCGUGAUGCUAAGGCCGUGAAGCCGUUCCGGACCCUUCGGGGAAAGGAAAGUGGUGGAGCCGCCGAACCAAGCGGUUAGUAGGUGAGUGAUGGGGUGACGCAGGAAGGUAGUCCAUCCCGGGCGGUGGUUGUCCCGGGGUAAGGGUGUAGGCCGGUGUGUAGGUAAAUCCGCACACCAUGAGGCUGAGACCUGAUGCCGAGCCGAUUGUGGUGAAGUGGAUGAUCCUAUGCUGUCGAGAAAAGCCUCUAGCGAGUUUCAUGGCGGCCCGUACCCUAAACCGACUCAGGUGGUCAGGUAGAGAAUACCGAGGCGUUCGGGUGAACUAUGGUUAAGGAACUCGGCAAAAUGCCCCCGUAACUUCGGGAGAAGGGGGGCCAUCACCGGUGAUCCGUUUUACACGGUGAGCUGGGGGUGGCCGCAGAGACCAGCGAGAAGCGACUGUUUACUAAAAACACAGGUCCGUGCGAAGCCGUAAGGCGAUGUAUACGGACUGACGCCUGCCCGGUGCUGGAACGUUAAGGGGACCGGUUAGUGCACUUUCGGGUGUGCGAAGCUGAGAACUUAAGCGCCAGUAAACGGCGGUGGUAACUAUAACCAUCCUAAGGUAGCGAAAUUCCUUGUCGGGUAAGUUCCGACCUGCACGAAUGGCGUAACGACUUCUCGACUGUCUCAACCAUAGGCCCGGUGAAAUUGCACUACGAGUAAAGAUGCUCGUUUCGCGCAGAAGGACGGAAAGACCCCGGGACCUUUACUACAGUUUGAUAUUGGUGUUCGGUUCGGCUUGUGUAGGAUAGGUGGGAGACUUUGAACCAGCCACGCCAGUGGUUGGGGAGUCGUCGUUGAAAUACCACUCUGGUCGUGCUGGAUGUCUAACCUCGGUCCGUGAUCCGGAUCAGGGACAGUGUCUGAUGGGUAGUUUAACUGGGGCGGUUGCCUCCUAAAGAGUAACGGAGGCGCCCAAAGGUUCCCUCAGCCUGGUUGGUAAUCAGGUGUUGAGUGUAAGUGCACAAGGGAGCUUGACUGUGAGACCGACGGGUCGAGCAGGGACGAAAGUCGGGACUAGUGAUCCGGCGGUGGCUUGUGGAAGCGCCGUCGCUCAACGGAUAAAAGGUACCCCGGGGAUAACAGGCUGAUCUUCCCCAAGAGUCCAUAUCGACGGGAUGGUUUGGCACCUCGAUGUCGGCUCGUCGCAUCCUGGGGCUGGAGUCGGUCCCAAGGGUUGGGCUGUUCGCCCAUUAAAGCGGUACGCGAGCUGGGUUUAGAACGUCGUGAGACAGUUCGGUCCCUAUCCUCUGUGCGCGUAGGAAUAUUGAGAAGGGCUGUCCCUAGUACGAGAGGACCGGGACGGACGAACCUCUGGUGUGCCAGUUGUCCUGCCAAGGGCAUGGCUGGUUGGCUACGUUCGGAAAGGAUAACCGCUGAAAGCAUCUAAGCGGGAAGCCUGCUUCAAGAUGAGUAUUCCCACCCCCUUGAGGGGUUAAGGCUCCCAGUAGACGACUGGGUUGAUAGGCCAGAUCUGGAAGCCCGGUAACGGGUGGAGGUGACUGGUACUAAUAGGCCGAGGGCUUGUCCUCAGUUG
rnacentral:rRNA from 1 species